CCUACGGGUGGCAGCAGUGGGGAAUAUUGGGCAAUGGGCGCAAGCCUGACCCAGCAACGCCGCGUGAAGGAAGAAGGCUUUCGGGGUGUAAACUUCUUUUAAGAGGGAAGAGCAGAAGACGGUACCUCUUGAAUAAGCCACGGCUAACUACGUGCCAGCAGCCGCGGUAAUACGUAGGUGGCAAGCGUUGUCCGGAUUUACUGGGUGUAAAGGGCGUGCAGCCGGGAAGACAAGGCAGAUGUGAAAUCCCGGGGCUCAACCGCGGAACUGCCUUUGAAACUGUUUUUCUUGAGUACCGGAGAGGUCAUCGGAAUUCCUUGUGUAGCGGUGAAAUGCGUAGAUAUAAGGAAGAACACCAGUGGCGAAGGCGGAUGACUGGACGGCAACUGACGGUGAGGCGCGAAAGCGUGGGGAGCAAACAGGAUUAGAUACCCGAGUAGUC
rnacentral:rRNA from 1 species